rnacentral:rRNA from 1 species
CCUACGGGAGGCAGCAGUAGGGAAUAUUGCUCAAUGGGGGAAACUCUGAAGCAGCAACGCCGCGUGGAGGAUGAAGGUUUUCGGAUUGUAAACUCCUUUUGUUAGAGAAGAUAAUGACGGUAUCGAACGAAUAAGCACCGGCUAACUCCGUGCCAGCAGCCGCGGUAAUACGGAGGGUGCAAGCGUUACUCGGAAUCACUGGGCGUAAAGGGCGGGUAGGCGGGAUAGCAAGGCAGAUGUGAAAUCCUAUGGCGUAACCAUAGAACUGCAUUUGAAACUGUUAUUCUUGAGUAUGGGAGAGGUAGGUGGAAUUCUUGGUGUAGGGGUAAAAUCCGUAGAGAUCAAGAGGAAUACUCAUUGCGAAGGCGACCUGCUAGAACAUAACUGACGCUGAUGCGCGAAAGCGUGGGGAGCAAACAGGAUUAGAUACCCGAGUAGUC